CGGUGAUCAUCAUACCAUAAAUCCCAACAAUUGGGUAGGGAGAAUCGGGAUGGGGCAGGUAGGUCCCAGAGAGGACAUAAUCAGUGAUGCAACCCACAUCACUAGCGAUGACCAGGAUGUCACUGACAGGUUGCCUGGCCUGGCAGGACCUCAAACUGCAGGACCAUGCAGGGAACAUCUGCUGAAAUUCUCCCUGCAUGACUCUAGUGUCCAC